rnacentral:rRNA from 1 species
UGUGGUGAUGGUAGCAAGAAGGAUACACCUGUUCCCAUGCCGAACACAGCAGUUAAGCUUCUUAGCGCCGAUGGUAGUUGGACCUUUGGUCCUGUGAGAGUAGGUCGUUGCCAUGU